UAUUUGGCUAGAAAGCCAGUGGAGAUGAUGUCCUUGCUGCAGAAGCCAUGGGAAAUAAGGCGGAGUGUCUGGCUGAUGUACCGGGGCUGUAGACUAUCCACCACUCCCCCAGGGAGGCGAGGAUCCCUAAAGGAAGAGAAUAUUGGCUAUGCUCUGGAAGUUUGACAGAGAGAAAGCUCCUCAUAGCUCAAAUGAUUUGUCUCCUGGAGUUCUGAGGAAUAUGUUGGCAAGAAGAAGGCUGCUGUCUUUUCCAAAAAUCUUCUGUGCAUUCAAGAGGAUCAUUGCACUUCUUGUUGGAGAAUGAAAGAAAUAUUAGUAGUAAUUAGUCCUUUUUCUCUAUCUGUCCAUCACUGAUUGAAUUUGAAUAGGUUAUUUUUAAUUUCUUGAUUUAUUUGAAUAAUUCAUCACAAGGUAUUCCAAUAUCCCAAAUUCUGCUUCACUUCUUUCUUUUGUAGGCCAGUCUGGUUCAUCUUCUCUCUGCUGUAUUAUUGCAGACCAUAUCUGAAUGUUUUUUUCUUUUUCGUUUUGAACAUUAGGUUCAAACUUCAUGAACAGAACACUUUAUUUAUCAUUAUUUUACCAGUUUGCAAAGAAAUCCAGAAUUUUGAAGAGAAGUGAUGCGACUCCACUUGAGGUUUUCAAUGGAAGAGAAGAAUGACGAUGUCCUACAUUCACAGCACUGCCCACAAUAAUACUGCAGCUAGUUUCCAGCAACUUAGGUCAGGUUCUGGAAGCA